AUUGAACGCUGGCGGCAGGCCUAACACAUGCAAGUCGAGCGGAGCGGCGGACGGGUGAGUAAUGCCUAGGAAUCUGCCUGGUAGUGGGGGAUAACGUCCGGAAACGGGCGCUAAUACCGCAUACUCUCAGAUGAGCCUAGGGCGGAUUAGCUAGUUGGUGGGGUAAAGGCCUCCCAAGGCGACGAUCCGUAACUGGUCUGAGAGGAUGAUCAGUCACACUGGAACUAGUGCACGGUCCAGAAUACUAAGGGAGGGAGCAGUGGGGAAAAUUGGACAAUGGGCGAAAGCCUGAUCCAGCCAUGCCGCGUGAGUGAAGAAGGUCUUCGGAUUGUAAAGCCCUUUAAGUUGGGAGGCGUUACCAACAGAAUAAGCCCCGGCUAACUUCGUGCCAGCAGCCGCGGUAAUUC
rnacentral:rRNA from 1 species